rnacentral:rRNA from 1 species
GAUCCUGGCUCAGAAUCAACGCUGGCGGCGCGCCUAACACAUGCAAGUCGAACGAGAACGGCUUCAGCAAUGGGGCCUAGUAAAGUGGCGUACGGGUGAGUAACACGUGGAUAACCUACCCUUGAGUGGGGGAUAACCUGGGGAAACCCGGGCUAAUACCGCAUAACAUCUCGAUGGCGUAAGUUGUUGAGAUCAAAGGAGAAAUUCGCUAGAGGAGGGGUCCGCGGCCGAUUAGCUUGUUGGCGGGGUAACGGCCCACCAAGGCAAUGAUCGGUAGCCGGUCUGAGAGGACGCACGGCCACACUGGAACUGACACACGGUCCAGACUCCUACGGGAGGCAGCAGUGGGGAAUCUUGCACAAUGGGGGAAACCCUGAUGCAGCGACGCCGCGUGGGUGAUGAAGCUCUUCGGAGUGUAAAGCCCUUUCGGCAGGGACGAAACAAGACGGUACCUGCAAAAGAAGCCCCGGCUAACUACGUGCCAGCAGCCGCGGUAAUACGUAGGGGGCUAGCGUUGUUCGGAAUUACUGGGCGUAAAGAGCGCGUAGGCGGUGCGGUGUGUUUGGUGUGAAAUCUCCCGGCUCAACCGGGAGGGGCCAUCGAAAACUGCCGUGCUGGAGUGCGGAAGAGGGCAGUGGAAUUCCCGGUGUAGCGGUGAAAUGCGUAGAGAUCGGGAGGAACACCUGUGUC